rnacentral:lncRNA from 1 species
AUGGACUGGCUCGCUACACUGCGACCACAGCUUCAGAACUGCCUAACCGAAGAUCAAGUGAGCUGGUGUGAAACAGUGAGCCUUCACAGAUUUGAGUCACUGACCUCUUUGAAAACUUUUAUAAAAUUGACCCCCUUCUUAGACCAAGUCAGUGGUGAUGGAAUACAGUAUGCAGAAGCCAGCCCCAGGAUGAAGGAGCCCAAUUUCCUCUCCACAAGAAAGGGAUCAAUGAGCUGAAGAUAGCUGGAGGUGAUAAAGCAAGCCUGGAACUCCAUAUUCUCUCUCUGUGCCCCCUUUCCCUUUGCUCCUCCC